UACGGAGGGUGCAAGCGUUAUCCGGAUUCACUGGGUUUAAAGGGUGCGUAGGCGGGCUUGUAAGUCAGCGGUGAAAUCCCAGAGCUUAACUCUGGAACUGCCAUUGAUACUGCAAGUCUUGAAUAUCCUGGAGGUGGGCGGAAUACAUCAUGUAGCGGUGAAAUGCUUAGAUAUGAUGUAGAACACCGAUUGCGAAGGCAGCUCACUACAGGAUGAUUGACGCUGAGGCACGAAAGCGUGGGGAUCAAACAGG
rnacentral:rRNA from 1 species